UACGUAGGGGGCAAGCGUUAUCCGGAAUCAUUGGGCGUAAAGCGCGUGUAGGCGGUUCCGUAAGUCCGCUCUGAAAGCCCAGGGCUCAACCCUGGGAGGCGGGUGGAUACUACGGAACUGGAGUACGGAAGAGGAGAUUGGAAUUCCGGGUGUAGCGGUGGAAUGCGUAGAGAUCCGGAAGAACACCGGUGGCGAAGGCGGUCUGCUGGGCAGUAGCUGACACUGAGGCGCGACAGCGUGGGGAGCAAACAGG
rnacentral:rRNA from 1 species